rnacentral:lncRNA from 1 species
AGGCGCACUUCAGCUAAGAGGGUGCGAGAUUGAAAAAGCCCGCGGCGUCUUCUACACGCCACUUCGCUGGGCUCCUGUCUCUGUCGCUGAGAGGCACUCUGGAGAGUCUGCGGCAGCCUCUGUCACACAGGGACCUGCACUGGUCGUGGGAGCCGCAGAGAGGCCCCCGGGACACGGAGGAAUUCGGAAAAUGGCUGGAGUGCAGUGGCGUGACCUGGGCUUGCUACAACCUCCACCUCCCAGCCGCCUGCCUUGGCCUCCCAAAGUGCCGAGAUUGCAGCCUCUGCCCGGCCGCCACCCCGUCUGGGAAGUGAGGAGCGUCUCUGCCUGGCCGCCCAUCAUCUGGGAUGCGAGGAGCCCCUCUGCCCGGCUGCCCAGUCUGGGAAGUGAGGAGCGCCUCUUCCCGGCCACCAUCCCAUCUAGGAAGUGAGGAGUGUCUCUGCCUGGCCGCCCAUGGUCUGGGAUGUGAGGAGCGCCUCUGCCCUGCCGCCCAGUCUGGGAAGUGAGGAGCGCCUCUUCCCGGCGCCAUCCCAUCUAGGAAGUGAGGAGCGUCUCUGCCUUGCCGCCCAUCGUCUGAGAUGUGGGGAGCGCCUCUGCCCCACUGCCCUGUCUAGGAUGUGAGGAGCGCCUCUACCCGGCCGUGACCCCGUCUGGGAACUGAGGAGUGUCUCUGCCUGAACACCACCCCGUCUGGGAGGUGACGAGCGUCUCUGCCUGGCCACCCCGUCUGAGAAGUGAGGAGCCCCUCCGCCCAGCAGCUGCCCUGUCUGGGAAAGUGAGGAGCCCCUCUGCCUGGCAGCUGCCCCGUCUGGGAAGUGAGGAGGGUCUCCGCCCGGCAGCUGCCCCGUCCGGGAGGGAGGUGGGGGGCAGCCCCCGACCAGCCAGCUGCCCUGUCCAGGAGGAAGGGAGGUGGGGGGCAGCCCCCGCCUGGCCAGCCGCCCCGUCUGGGAGGUGGGGGGGCGCCUCCGCCUGGCCUCCACCCCGUCUGGGAGGUGUACCCAACAGCUCACUGAGAACGGGCCAUGAUGACGAUGGCAGUUUUGUCGAAUAGAAAAGGGGGAAAUGUGGGGAAAAGAAAGAUAAGAUUGUUACUGUGUCUGUGUAGAUAGUAGUAGACAUAGGAGACUCCAUUUUGUUCUAUACUAAGAAAAAUUCUUCUGCCUUG